AUUGAACGCUGGCGGCAUGCCUUACACAUGCAAGUCGAACGGUAACGGGCCUUCGGGUGCCGACGAGUGGCGAAUGGGUGAGUAAUGUAUCGGAACGUACCUUUCAGUGGGGGAUAACGUAGCGAAAGUUACGCUAAUACCGCAUAUUCUGUGAGCAGGAAAGCAGGGGAUCGCAAGACCUUGCGCUGAUUGAGCGGCCGAUAUCAGAUUAGCUAGUUGGUGAGGUAAAAGCUCACCAAGGCGACGAUCUGUAGCGGGUCUGAGAGGAUGAUCCGCCACCCUGGCACUGAGACACGGUCCAGAGUCCUACGGGAGGCAGCAGUGGGGAAUUUUGGACAAUGGGGGCAACCCUGAUCCAGCCAUGCCGCGUGAGUGAAGAAGGCCUUCGGGUUGUAAAGCUCUUUCGGCCGGGAAGAAAUCGUAUCAGCUAAUACCUGGUGCGGAUGACGGUACCGGCAUAAGAAGCACCGGCUAACUACGUGCCAGCCGCCGCAGUAAUAC
rnacentral:rRNA from 1 species